rnacentral:misc_RNA from 1 species
AUCAAACUCAAGUUCUCUUAGGCUUUCUAAAACUCAUAUCCAAAACAGCGAAGACAAUGAGCUCCACUGCUGUACCUGCUGCUACUACUGCCAAGGGUGGCCGAGGCAAGUCCAAAGCCAAGUCGGUGUCCANGUCUACAGUUUCCUGUUGGUCGAGUUGCCCGCUUCCUCAAGAAAGGCAGGUACGCUGAACGGCUCGGCUCUGGAUCCCCUGUCUAUCUCACUGCUGUUUUGGAGUACCUGGCUGCUGAGGUUUUGGAGCUUGCUGGGAAUGCAGCUAGAGAUAACAAGAAGAACAGGAUCA